rnacentral:rRNA from 1 species
AUUGAACGCUGGCGGCGUGCUUAACACAUGCAAGUCGAGCGGUAACGCGGGGGCAACCCUGGCGACGAGCGGCGAACGGGUGAGUAUUACAUGGGAAUCUGCCUAGUAGUGGGGAAUAACCCGGGGAAACUCGGGCUAAUACCGCAUACGUCCUAAGGGAGAAAGCGGGGGAUCGCAAGACCUCGCGCUAUUGGAUGAGCCCAUGUCGGAUUAGCUAGUUGGUGAGGUAAUGGCUCACCAAGGCGACGAUCCGUAGCUGGUCUGAGAGGACGGCCAGCCACACUGGGACUGAGACACGGCCCAGACUCCUACGGGAGGCAGCAGUGGGGAAUUUUGGACAAUGGGCGAAAGCCUGAUCCAGCAAUGCCGCGUGCAGGAUGAAGGCCUUCGGGUUGUAAACUGCUUUGUACGGAACGAAACAGUCUUUCUAAUACAGGAGACUAAUGACGGUACCGUAAGAAUAAGCACCGGCGUAACUACGUG